AAAAAUAACCCAAACGUAAUAUAUAUUCAAUAUAUUCAUCUCUACCUACCUAGUUAGCUGAGAGACUACGUACAUUAAUUUACUAAUAACACAUUGAUCGUCAUGGCCGCCGGUCCAACGAAAAAUGUAUGUUUUGUUUUGCUCAUUGUGGUGUUGUUCUUUGUUGCAACUAUAAAUACGACAUUUGCUACGAGGAGCUUAUCAGGGUAUGGUGAUGGAAACACUGAGGGAGAAGAAGGUGAAGAAGGAUCUUAUGUUGAUUCAAAAGAUGAGGGAUCUAAUUAUGAUGAUGGAAAAGAUGAGGGGUCUUACGAUGAAAAUAAAAAAGAUGACGAAGACCAUGAACAAGGGUCUGAAAAUGAUUCAAAUGAAUAUGACGCCGACAAAGGAGAUCAUCAUGAUGAUGAAGAAGAAAAUGAAGUAGACUCUGAAAAUAAAGAUGGUGCUAAUUACGGAGGAGAUGAUCACGAAGAAGGUGGUGAAAAUGAACGUGGUGGUGAAAAUGAACAAGGUGGAGAAAACAGAAAUGAUGAAUCGUACGGAUCUAAUGAUGGCGAAGACACUUAUGGUGGUGAUUUGAUUUCUCAUCUCUCUAAUCCUUGAGAUAUUUUUAACCUCUUAAGGACUUCAUUUCUACUUCAGAAUCUUGAUAAAAACUUAUUUAUUUGUACGUUUUUAUCAAUACUGUAUUCUAUAAAUAAAUAAAGCUUAUUUUUAUAUAACUAUUAUAUGAGUUAAUUCCAGCUAGCUAAAAUAAAGAUUCGAAUAUGAGAAGAACUAACUAACCUUAUAUUUACUAGAUUGAUGAAUCAGUGA
rnacentral:lncRNA from 1 species